ensembl:lncRNA
CAAACUGUUCCAAACAGAAAGUUUCAGAUGUAGCUCGGAUGAGAUGACAAUGAACUACAGAAAGAAGAGUCCAGAUAGAAUUGCCUUGGGAAAGGUGUUUGGAGCUGGGAACAAGAUGCUCUGAAUUUGAGUUCUGUUUCAUGAAUGAAUUAGCAGAAAGGCCUUGGGGAAUUUUAAGUUGCCCAUUUACUUAAUAGGCACUAUGUCCUCGACAUUGUAGUUUGUGCUGUUGGAGCUACAAAGACAUCCAAGACAUGAAUCCUAAGGACUUGCUACCUAGUAGGAAAGAAAGAACAUUCACAAAACAAACAGGUCACCAAAUGUAUUUUCUUGGUGGAUAUCCACAGUAGCUCAAGAACUGCAAUAAACCCUGAUAUUAACAACUGAAAGGCCAGGGAUUUAGCUCAGCGGUUCCGGCACCUGCCUUGCAAGCCCAAGGUCCCAAGUUUGAUCCCUGGUACCAAAAAAAAAUUGAAAAUAUUUUAACAUCUGGUUUAUCUGCAAUACUGUAAGCAUUUUGUUAUUAAUUAGAAUUAAUUCUAUCUGCUUUGGUUAAUGAUCUCCUUUGAAAGAUUUAUAAGCUUUCCUUUGGACAAAUAGCAACUUAUUUUGAUAAAGCACAAUCCUUAGUUUUCAAUAUUAAGCUACAUCCUUUAAAAUGGCUAUUAAUACUAAAGAAUAGAGGCUGUUAGUAGGAGACAUGUACAAUGUCAAAGGAAUGCACAUGCCAGUCAUGACUAAUACUAUUUCAGAGGAAAUUUCUAACAAAAAGGAGAUUUUUCCAUGUAAUAAGGCAUUUAUUUUAAUCAACAGAAGGUUUAAUAAAGAUCCUAAACAAAUUUGUUGUAAUAGGUAUGAAGGAAUUGAAUAGAAUUUCCCAGGAAAUAUCACUCAUAAUGUUCCCAUUCUAAUAGUUCAGCAGUGUUCUUAUACUUUCUGUGGCUGGAAUCCCAGGUAGAAAACUUUUCAGCUCCUGAGGCCAUAACACAGCCACCCCUCACUGCAGCUAACGUUUCUGAGAAUUUAGUGUGAGUGAGACAUUGCUGCAUGCUGCACUUCGUUAUCUCAUUGUAAUGCUCAGAAUCCAGUGAAACAGGCACAAAUGUUACGGUCCUUUUAUAGUCAGAUAAGAAACUGAGGCAAACAGAUUCUUGUUCAAGGGGCAGUAUUAAAUAGAACACAAGAUACAUUAUAUUGGCUGUUUCACCUUCUCUAUCACACUGAAAGAAUAAGAUUUUUUAAAGGAAUGUCAAGUUGAACUCUACAGCUGUUA